GUCCCUUUCCCUGUGAGCACAUGAGGCUGGCUCUUGCCCCAUGGGUAGUUUGGGUAGAAAGACCUUUCAGUCAGUUUCUGUUAUGUGUUCAUGAAGAUGCCAAAGCACCCUGGCUUUCAUUUCCUUCCUGUCUUCCCUUGCACUGCUUGGUACAAGGCCACAGCAGGAGUGCUUGAGGUGCAUGGCAGCGUGCCUGGGUCCUGCUCACUUCGUUAAACUCUGGCUUAGGAAACAAAGUUUAUUGCUGCUGAAGCAUGUGACUCAGUCCUGAUUCCAAGUGCAUAUGACCCAACUUGGGACUCUUACCAGAUUUCAGAUUCCUAAAGCCAUUUUCAGACCUUGAGUCAAAGGAAAGAGCGGGAAUUUGUUUAACACCCCAACUAAUUAUACAGUGUCCACCUGGCACCAGUUCACUUACCGUACUGUAGCAUUGUGUGUACUGCAGAGACAAGACCACGCAUUAGAAACAGGCAAGUUCUGUGUGAGAAGGGCUGGCCCACGUGAGUGCAGACCCUCCGGGAGCAGCAGAGUAAGAACGCAUUUGUCUGCUACUGGAAGUUCGUCCAUUCCCAGAGCCAUACCGCCACCCCCCACCCCCCGUGGACCUCCUCUAUGGCAGACAGCACUGGACACGCUGCCUUCUGCCCAGCUGGUGGGCUCAGCGCUCGCUCCAUUGGCAUCUGGUUGGCCUGUGAGACCAGCUGCUGCAGAUCACAUCAGGUGAUGAGACAUCGGGGUACAGAAAGUUGUUUCUCGUCCAACUACCUCUCCCUGCAAGAUUAGCAAUUUCAGCGAAUGAGGAUUGUUAUGGCUGUGUCCAGAUGUCCCCC
rnacentral:lncRNA from 1 species